rnacentral:rRNA from 1 species
AAACGAUGUCGACUUGGAGGUUGUGCCCUUGAGGCGUGGCUUCCGGAGCUAACGCGUUAAGUCGACCGCCUGGGGAGUACGGCCGCAAGGUUAAAACUCAAAUGAAUUGACGGGGGCCCGCACAAGCGGUGGAGCAUGUGGUUUAAUUCGAUGCAACGCGAAGAACCUUACCUGGUCUUGACAUCCACAGAACUUUCCAGAGAUGGAUUGGUGCCUUCGGGAACUGUGAGACAGGUGCUGCAUGGCUGUCGUCAGCUCGUGUUGUGAAAUGUUGGGUUAAGUCCCGCAACGAGCGCAACCCUUAUCCUUUGUUGCCAGCGGUCCGGCCGGGAACUCAAAGGAGACUGCCAGUGAUAAACUGGAGGAAGGUGGGGAUGACGUCAAGUCAUCACGGCCCUUACGACCAGGGCUACACACGUGCUACAAUGGCGCAUACAAAGAGAAGCGACCUCGCGAGAGCAAGCGGACCUCAUAAAGUGCGUCGUAGUCCGGAUUGGAGUCUGCAACUCGACUCCAUGAAGUCGGAAUCGCUAGUAAUCGUGGAUCAGAAUGCCACGGUG